rnacentral:SRP_RNA from 2 species
GCCGGGUGUGGUGGUGCACGCCUGUAAUCCCAGCUACUUGGGAGGCUGAGGCAGGAGAAUCGCUUGAACCCGGGAGGCGGAGGUUGCAGUGAGCCGAGAUCGUGCCACUGCACUCUAGCCUGGGUGACAGAGUGAGACUCCAUCUCAA